rnacentral:SRP_RNA from 17 species
GGGAGGCACUGGCGGUUCGGCAAAAAAUGGGACACCGUAAGGAUGGAAACGGAGGAGGCAACAGUCGCGGCGUCCUCGUGAUCGUGAUCGUCCUCGUGAUU